AUUAUUAACUCCUUUUUAAGGAUGCUGCUAAUAAAAGCCAGAAUGUGUUAUGAAGGUACAACCCAAGCUGCAACUUCACUCUUCAGCAGCAGGAACUACUCUCUAAUGAAUGAUGUACUCCAGAUUGAAAAUUCCUCAAGUGAAAUGCUUGAGAUUAAGUAAGGUGUCCUUAUAAGAAGAGGAACAGAUGCCAGGGAUGCAUGUACACAGAGAAGAGACCAUGUAAGGACACAUUGAAAAGGUGGCCAUCUGCAGGCCAAGAAAAGAGGCCUUAGGAGGAACCAAAC